AUUUAGAGUACAAUGUACAAAUAAGGGAACAACAUGGAUGAACCUCCUCACCAAUGUAUCUUAGGAUGGAACUUUUUCUAAUCAGGUGGUAUGAUGUGUACAGUGUACAAACAGGGCAACACAGUUGAUUGACAUGUAUCUGAAGAUGGUCCUUUCUUAUUUAGACGAACAAUUGUUCUCCGAAGACAUCAAGGAAUUGUCGGUGACGUCAACGUGGAUUUAAAGUUACAAGUUGAUAGUGUUGAUAUCCUGAGUACAGAUGAAAAAUUUUUUUGAUGUACUUUCUUGGGGGAGUUUUUGGUGAUGUCGACGUGGAUUGAAAGUUUCAAGCUCAUAUAGUUGGUGUUGUGAUUACAG